CGUAUACACGUGACUAAUUUCUUACUCAAGCUUUCUGAUUUCUUACUCAAUUGCUUCAUGAAUUAUUAAUGAGUUUUUGAAAAUUAGUUUAAUAAUUUUGAGCGAUUUGUCAACAAAACAAUUUCGCUUGGCUUUCGAAGACAAUGGCCAUAAAUCGCUAGAAUACAACAGUUUAGUAAUACAUUUGAGUAAUGUCCAAUACAGGCAUCUGAUGUCUAAUGGUGAAGAUGGUGUACGGUGGUGUAUGAUGGUUGAAGUGUGUCAGAUGGUUGUCAGAUGGUGUAUGAUGGUGUAUGAUGGUCGAAAUGUGUCAGAUGGUUGUCAGAUGGUGUAUGAUGGUGUAUGAUGGUCGAAGUGUGUCAGAUGGUUGUCGGAUGGUGUAUGAUGGUGUAGGGUGGUUAUACAGGGAAGGGUUGUCAGAUGGUGAAGAUGGUACAGAUGGUGUAUGAUGGUAGAAGUGUGUCAGAUGGUUGUCGGAUGGUGUAUGAUGGUGUAGGGUGGUUAUACAGGGAAGGAUUGUCAGAUGGUGAAGAUGGUACAGAUGGUGUAUGAUGGUCGAAGUGUGUCAGAUGGUUGUCAGAUGGUGUAUGAUGGUGUAGGG